rnacentral:lncRNA from 1 species
UUUUUAGAUAACUGGAUUGAUAAACCAGAUGAAGCCAGAGUGGUGAAACUGGAGAGAAAGGGUUUUGGCUGAUGGUGAGGCCGGGUAACAGCUAGGACAGCAGGAAUCAAAAUAAAGCCUGUUGUACCUGAUGCUGGACUACAAGUGCUGCCAGUCACUUCUGCCUAAUUAAUUACUGCUGUACACAUUAUGCUUGACCUCUGACAGAGGAAGAGCGUGUGUUUGCAUCUUAAUUAACAAAAAUGUUGCAUCUGUCACAGUGAGGGGAAAACAACAUCUGAGCUGUGGGCAUGGGGCUUCCCUGCCUCCUGAGCUCCCAGCCAGUCAGACAGUCACCUGCAAUUUGUCUGACAGGAAACUGAAGCUGUGAUGGGAUGUAAUUGAAAAAUACAGUUCCUGUCACUGCCAGGUGAGCAGCAGUCUCCAGGCUGUGCCAAAUCUGGCUUCUUCCCAUCAAGAAAGGUGUCACCGCACCUGUCCCAGUGUAUGUGAUACGGGAAACCUGGGGUCCAUUCCUACUGGAGUGGAGAUCAGCUGUGAGGUUUUUUGACCUCUUGGAUUAGACAGAGCCAUGAAUUGUCAUCUCUGGUUGCGUGACUGGAGUGCUGUGUGAUGGCCAGGUGGUUGAAGUUUUAGAGGUUUUGGAGGGGAAAAAUAGGAUGCCCCCUCCCUGUCCCUACAUAUUCCUUGUACAUCCCUGCUCAGCCCAUCUGUUCAUUGCCUCUGCAGCUGGACACAGAACUGACUGCCUGCACAGCAAGAGCUGCAAAUCAAAAUGAAGAGGAUGAAAAGGGACUUCAAGGAGAAAGUAUUUGAUGUGCAUGGUGAGGAGAUCCCAGAUGUGGAGAAACAGCAAGUGGCUGCAGAGAAGCAGGAGCUGGAAAGGAAAUUCUCCUGUUUGAGUGAGGAGGUACGCCACGGGCUGUGGCAUGGGCUGGUCAAUGGGCUGAAAAAAAGAAC